GACGAACGCUGGCGGCGUGCUUAACACAUGCAAGUCGAACGGAAAGGCCCUGCUUUUGUGGGGUGCUCGAGUGGCGAACGGGUGAGUAACACGUGAGUAACCUGCCCUUGACUUUGGGAUAACUUCAGGAAACUGGGGCUAAUACCGGAUAGGAGCUCCUGCUGCAUGGUGGGGGUUGGAAAGUUUCGGCGGUUGGGGAUGGACUCGCGGCUUAUCAGCUUGUUGGUGGGGUAGUGGCUUACCAAGGCUUUGACGGGUAGCCGGCCUGAGAGGGUGACCGGCCACAUUGGGACUGAGAUACGGCCCAGACUCCUACGGGAGGCAGCAGUGGAGAAUAUUGCACAAUGGGCGGAAGCCUGAUGCAACAACGCCGCGUGCGGGAUGACGGCCUUCGGGUUGUAAACCGCUUUCGCCUGUGACGAAGCGUGAGUGACGGUAAUGGGUAAAGAAGCACCGGCUAACUACGUG
rnacentral:rRNA from 1 species